rnacentral:rRNA from 1 species
GAUGAACGCUGGCGGCGUGCCUAAUACAUGCAAGUCGAGCGAACGGACGAGAAGCUUGCUUCUCUGAUGUUAGCGGCGGACGGGUGAGUAACACGUGGAUAACCUACCUAUAAGACUGGGAUAACUUCGGGAAACCGGAGCUAAUACCGGAUAAUAUUUUGAACCGCAUGGUUCAAAAGUGAAAGACGGUCUUGCUGUCACUUAUAGAUGUAUCCGCGCUGCAUUAGCUAGUUGGUAAGGUAACGGCUUACCAAGGCAACGAUGCAUAGCCGACCUGAGAGGGUGAUCGGCCACACUGGAACUGAGACACGGUCCAGACUCCUACGGGAGGCAGCAGUAGGGAAUCUUCCGCAAUGGGCGGAAGCCUGACGGAGCAACGCCGCGUGAGUGAUGAAGGUCUUCGGAUCGUAAAACUCUGUUAUUAGGGAAGAACAUAUGUGUAAGUAACUGUGCACAUCUUGACGGUACCUAAUCAGAAAGCCACGGCUAACUACGUG